GGCCUCUGCCAGCAGAACCCCACUGGCCAGGCGUGAGCUGUCCUCUGAAAUGCCCAGAGGCCAAAAUGUUCUUUGGAGGAUCUUAUUCAGCUGAACUGCAAUGCUGUCUCCACCUCCCUAGCUGCUGGGAUUAUACAGGCGUGGGCCACCACAUCUGGCUUCAAUGUUGUCAGCCCUGGGUGGCGUCAGGGAUGCCAGGAACAGGAGAACCAGAAGAGGCUGUUGACAUGCUCAGGGAGAGAGCAAGAACUGGUUAAAGCCUCAGACACCAGCCUGUCUGACCACAGAGCCUAAGAUGCGUGAAGACAGAGAUUCGAUCAAAUGUGGCUUCCAGCUGUAUCCGCAGGUCUCAAGACUGACACCCUGUGAAUACUAGCGAAAGAAACAGAUACCUGGAUGCCACCACUCUUUGGCUCAGUGACUGUCAGUGUCUCCCCGCUGUAGUCAAGGUAUUAAACCUAGGCUUCUUGCUCUGCCCUGGGAGGGAAGUGACUGUCACUCACAGAACAAGCAGGGACACAUUAUGCAGGUCAAAGGGGAUGCUGCAAACCAGUAUCUUAGAACAACAAGAACACAACAGACUUUUCCUUUUCAAACAGGGAGGCAUAGCUGCCACACUUGUCCGAAGCCCAGGGAACGGUGUCUGUCUUUCUCUCUGGCUUCCUUCUCCGACCCACUCCCUCUCUGAGCCAUCUGCAGUUUCGCCCUUCAACCCAGAGAAGUCCUUUGAGUAGCUGGAGCUAGCUCGUUAUUGUGGCCCCACAUUGAACACUACCUGCCCAAGAGCCCUUCCCUGACCACACAUUCCCACUCAAACCACCUCCAUCUCAAAGUUGUGACUUGUGCCCCACCCCGCCCCCGCCCCCUUGCUCUCAGCUCUGUGUCUGAGAUCCCUUCUUUGGCGCUGGCAAGCAGGAUGCAUUGAAUUCCCCCAGGCACCUGUCAGCUUCUAGGGAGGUGUUUCUGAGGGUAAACUGACUCUAUCUGGGGAGGUACAGGGAGCAGGGAAGGAAAGACGACUGACUGUGCCUACGAAGUCACCCCAGAAAUCAGAAUUACUUUCUCCUCAGUCCCCCAGUUGUUUCAUCUGAGAGGACUCUGGGGGCCGAGUCUGAAUAAAGAUUACAAACCACCUUCCCC
ensembl:lincRNA Gm45229 predicted gene 45229